UGGUGUGGAAGGUUGGCAUUGGGGAUGAUAGGUAUAUAAAAUUGCUUCCAUAUUCAAACAGACAUUGGCCUUCUCUUAUAUGUAUGCUUAUAUCAUGAAUUUUUUUAUUGAUAUAUUAUCAAUGGAACGUGAUUGGCUGCAUUAUAUUUAUUACUUGUAUUACUCCUACUUUUAGGUAUGCUAUUAUGGGCAACAUUAUCAUUGCUUUGCCUAUAGUCAGGAGCAUGAACGAUGGA
rnacentral:misc_RNA from 1 species